rnacentral:rRNA from 1 species
GACGAACGCUGGCGGCGUGCUUAACACAUGCAAGUCGAACGGAAAGGCCCUGCUUUUGUGGGGUGCUCGAGUGGCGAACGGGUGAGUAACACGUGAGUAACCUGCCCUUGACUUUGGGAUAACUUCAGGAAACUGGGGCUAAUACCGGAUAGGAGCUCCUGCUGCAUGGUGGGGGUUGGAAAGUUUCGGCGGUUGGGGAUGGACUCGCGGCUUAUCAGCUUGUUGGUGGGGUAGUGGCUUACCUAGGCUUUGACGGGUAGCCGGCCUGAGAGGGUGACCGGCCACAUUGGACUGAGAUACGGCCCAGACUCCUACGGGAGGCAGCAGUGGGGAAUAUUGCACAAUGGGCGGAAGCCUGAUGCAGCAACGCCGCGUGCGGGAUGACGGCCUUCGGGUUGUAAACCGCUUUCGCCUGUGACGAAGCGUGAGUGACGGUAAUGGGUAAAGAAGCACCGGCUAACUACGUG